rnacentral:rRNA from 1 species
AUUGAACGCUGGCGGCAGGCCUAACACAUGCAAGUCGAGCGGGUGAAGGAAGCUUGCUCCUGGAUUCAGCGGCGGACGGGUGAGUAAUGCCUAGGAAUCUGCCUGGUAGUGGGGGAUAACGUCCGGAAACGGGCGCUAAUACCGCAUACGUCCUGAGGGAGAAAGUGGGGGAUCUUCGGACCUCACGCUAUCAGAUGAGCCUAGGUCGGAUUAGCUAGUUGGUGGGGUAAAGGCCUACCAAGGCGACGAUCCGUAACUGGUCUGAGAGGAUGAUCAGUCACACUGGAACUGAGACACGGUCCAGACUCCUACGGGAGGCAGCAGUGGGGAAUAUUGGACAAUGGGCGAAAGCCUGAUCCAGCCAUGCCGCGUGUGUGAAGAAGGUCUUCGGAUUGUAAAGCACUUUAAGUUGGGAGGAAGGGCAGUAAGUUAAUACCUUGCUGUUUUGACGUUACCAACAGAAUAAGCACCGGCUAACUUCGUG